GACGAACGCUGGCGGCGUGCUUAACACAUGCAAGUCGAACGGUAAGGCUCCAGCUUGCUGGGGUACACGAGUGGCGAACGGGUGAGUAACACGUGGGUGACCUGCCCUGCACUUCGGGAUAAGCCUGGGAAACUGGGUCUAAUACCGGAUAGGACCGCACCGUGAGGGUGUGGUGGAAAGUUUUUUCGGUGUGGGAUGGGCCCGCGGCCUAUCAGCUUGUUGGUGGGGUAAUGGCCUACCAAGGCGGCGACGGGUAGCCGGCCUGAGAGGGUGGACGGCCACAUUGGGACUGAGACACGGCCCAGACUCCUACGGGAGGCAGCAGUGGGGAAUAUUGCACAAUGGGCGGAAGCCUGAUGCAGCGACGCCGCGUGGGGGAUGACGGCCUUCGGGUUGUAAACUCCUUUCACCAUCGACGAAGGGUUUCUGACGGUAGAUGGAGAAGAAGCACCGGCUAACUACGUGCCAGCAGCCGCGGUAAUACGUAGGGUGCGAGCGUUGUCCGGAAUUACUGGGCGUAAAGAGCUCGUAGGUGGUUUGUCGCGUCGUCUGUGAAAUUCCGGGGCUUAACUCCGGGCGCGCAGGCGAUACGGGCAUAACUUGAGUACUGUAGGGGAGACUGGAAUUCCUGGUGUAGCGGUGAAAUGCGCAGAUAUCAGGAGGAACACCGGUGGCGAAGGCGGGUCUCUGGGCAGUAACUGACGCUGAGGAGCGAAAGCAUGGGGAGCGAACAGGAUUAGAUACCCUGGUAGUCCAUGCCGUAAACGGUGGGCGCUAGGUGUGGGUUUCCUUCCACGGGAUCCGUGCCGUAGCUAACGCAUUAAGCGCCCCGCCUGGGGAGUACGGCCGCAAGGCUAAAACUCAAAGGAAUUGACGGGGGCCCGCACAAGCGGCGGAGCAUGUGGAUUAAUUCGAUGCAACGCGAAGAACCUUACCUGGGCUUGACAUAUACAGGAUCGCGCCAGAGAUGGUGUUUCCCUUGUGGCUUGUAUACAGGUGGUGCAUGGUUGUCGUCAGCUCGUGUCGUGAGAUGUUGGGUUAAGUCCCGCAACGAGCGCAACCCUUGUCUUAUGUUGCCAGCACGUUGUGGUGGGGACUCGUAAGAAACUGCCGGGGUUAACUCGGAGGAAGGUGGGGAUGACGUCAAAUCAUCAUGCCCCUUAUGCCCAGGGCUUCACACAUGCUACAAUGGUCGGUACAGUGGGUUGCCAGUCCGUGAGGGCGAGCUAAUCCCGCAAAGCCGGUCUCAGUUCGGAUCGGGGUCUGCAACUCGACCCCGUGAAGUCGGAGUCGCUAGUAAUCGCAGAUCAGCAACGCUGCGGUGAAUACGUUCCCGGGCCU
rnacentral:rRNA from 1 species